AUCUGGGCGGCGGAAUUCAGGAUGGCUGGCGUGCUCUCGCGGUGCGUCGGUCGUUUGAUAUUUCCGUCGCCGAUUUACCGCAGACGUCGCGACCUGUUCGCGGCCGGUCCCUGCUCGGAGGAGCCGCGUUCGAGCUCGUUGUGUGCGCGUUUCGGCGUGUCACACGGCGAAGGCGCGGGUCUCUGGCUGGCCGUCGGACAGUACGCUUAACGGUGUCCGGUGUCGUCGUCACGUACGCGCGGCACCGGUACCGGUCAGCGACGAAUUCUUCGGGCCUCUUUCCGACCCGUCUUGAAACACGGACCAAGGAGUCUAACAUGCGCGCGAGUCGCGGGGUAUCGAGCGUACUUCGGUGCGCUCGUUAUGUUGCGAAACCCGUACAUGUCGAAGGCGUAAUGAAAGUGAAUGGGGAAGAUGGUGUUCCGAGUUCACGUUCCGCGAUCGUCGGUAUCGCGGCCGGACGCCCGCAUUCCCGGGGCGUCUCAACGGCCCGUCGCUGAUGCGGACCGUCGUCUCUCGGGGCGGCUGUCGGUCGGCGACGAACCGA
rnacentral:rRNA from 1 species